ensembl:rRNA 5S_rRNA 5S ribosomal RNA
GUCUACGGCCAUACCACCCUGAACGCGCCCAAUCUCGUCUGAUCUCGGAAGCUAAGCAGGGUCGGGCCUGGUUAGUACUUGGAUGGGAAAAGUCAAUUUAUAAGAUAUACUCUAAGCC